GUGUCCCGGGUGGGCCGCGCUGGCCACGAAGUCUUCAAAAGCCUUCCGGACAGCGUUCAGCUGCCGGUCUGUGUGGUUCCGGGCCGCGAGGGCAGCC
rnacentral:tRNA from 1 species